rnacentral:lncRNA from 1 species
GAGGGGUUGGUGAACUUGAAAUAAAAGCUUCUUGAACUUUUAAGAGGGCUCUUACUUAGGGUUGAAAUGAAUGCUUGAAGAAUCUUUUUAAAAUCUUGUUGAUUCCCUCCUUUAAGUGCCUUUUAUAACUUCAAAUGAUGGUGGAGAGUAAUCUGGGUUGAAAUAGAGCCGUUAGAGCACAUUAAAUGGACAUUAAAUACAGCCAAAAUGAGCUGAAAACUAGCCAUUGCAGAGUUUUUCCAUCGUAGGAGUCGACUCAUAGGGUCGACUCAUGCUCAUGAGUCGACUCAUGGGGUCGACUUCUGUGGCACAGAACAGAAAAUGACUGUUCUGUAAUUUUGGCCUACACAGCAGCAGAGGUCGACUCAU